rnacentral:lncRNA from 1 species
UAGAAGUACCAUGACAAACUUUAUUUUACAUCAAAAAUCUAUAUUUUUGGUCAUUAAUAUGAGUUUCGAAAAUCGCAAAUGUGGGUUAGAAAUGCGUUUAUACGAAUCACAUCCUGGUCUUAACAGAUCAUACAUGUACUUUGUUUGAAUCUUCAGCAUGCUAUUAGUGUAAAUACUAAUUACAAAACCGUAAAUGGGUCAUUAUCAAAAAAACAUGCAAAACUAUGAUUGGGUCUUUUUAAGUCACAGUCAUGAAAAUAUAAAAAAA